GAAAGAUUGUAAAAUGGCGUUUCCAUUCAAGUUGUUGCAUUUACUCAUGAACCAUUCAAUCUAAGCUUUUCAAAUUUUAAUAUGUUGAUACUGAUGACAAAAUGGAGGUCAAAUUUGAUAUUGACGAUUUUCACUUUCACCAUUCAUCAGUAAUCGUUCUUGUGAUAUUGCCAGGACACAAAUAAAUAUUAAUAAAUCCGGC
rnacentral:lncRNA from 1 species